rnacentral:rRNA from 1 species
GAUCCUGGCUCAGGAUGAACGCUGGCGGCGUGCCUAAUACAUGCAAGUCGAACGCUUCACAUUUGUGAAGAGUGGCGAACGGGUGAGUAAUACAUAAGUAACCUGGCAUCUACAGGGGGAUAACUGAUGGAAACGUCAGCUAAGACCGCAUAGGUGUAGAGAUCGCAUGAACUCUAUAUGAAAAGUGCUACGGGACUGGUAGAUGAUGGACUUAUGGCGCA